GCAGGAAUAGCUCAGCGGUAGAGCGCGACGUUGCCAUCGUCGAGGUCGCGGGUUCAAUCCCCGUUUCCUGCUCCA
rnacentral:tRNA from 1 species